UCCUGCCGGAGGUUACUGCUAUCGAGAUUCGACUAAGCCAUGCGAGUUGAAUGUUCUUCGUGAACAUGGCGGACUGCUCAGUAACACGUGGACAACCUACCCUUGGGUCCGGCAUAAUCCUGGGAAACUGGGAAUAAUUCCGGAUAGGUCACCGAUGCUGGAAUGCGCGGUGGCCGAAAGCUCCGGCGCCCGAGGAUGGGUCUGCGGCCUAUCAGGUAGUAGUGGGUGUAGCGUACCUACUAGCCUACGACGGGUACGGGUUGUGAGAGCAAGAGCCCGGAGAUGGAUUCUGAGACACGAAUCCAGGCCCUACGGGGUGCAGCAGGCGCGAAAACUUUACAAUGCUGGCAACAGCGAUAAGGGAACCUCGAGUGCCAGGUUACAAAUCUGGCUGUCGAGAUGCCUAAAAAGCAUUUCAUAGCAAGGGCCGGGCAAGACCGGUGCCAGCCGCCGCGGUAACACCGGCGGCUCGAGUGGUAACCGUUAUUAUUGGGUCUAAAGGGUCUGUAGCCGGCCGGAUAAGUCUCUUGAGAAAUCUGGCAGCUUAACUGUCAGGCUUUCAGGAGAUACUGUCUGGCUCGAGGCCGGGAGAGGUGAGAG
rnacentral:rRNA from 1 species